GCCCCCUUAGCUCAGUGGUAGAGCAACGCCCUUGUAAUGCGUAGGCCAUCGGUUCAAUCCCGAUAGGGGGCUCCA
rnacentral:tRNA from 1 species